CUGCCCUCAAGCCCGGCUUGUGUGUUGGGCCCUGCUCCCCCGGGGGCAGGCCCGAAAGGCAGUGGCGGCACCGCGUCCGGUCCUCGAGCGUAUGGGGCUUUGUCACCCGCUCUGUAGGCCCGGCCGGCGCUUGCCGACCCCCAUCAAUCUUUUUUCAGG
rnacentral:misc_RNA from 1 species